rfam:Apis mellifera strain DH4 linkage group 9, whole genome shotgun sequence.
UCCGGUAUGGUCUAGUGGCUAGGAUACCUGGCUCUCACCCAGGCGGCCCGGGUUCGAUUCCCGGUACCGGAA